AUGGAGAGGAUGGCUCAGUCCUACUUCAAGGAGAUUUUCACUAAGGAUCCAACUCUUUCCCCGGAUGAGGUUCUGGAUUGCAUAGUACCGAAGGUCACUGAUGAGAUGAAUGAUAUGUUAUGUAAGCCGUACUCUGAUGAGGAAAUUUCUAAUGCCCUGUUCCAGAUCGGUCCCCUCAAAGCUCCGGGCUGUGACGGUCUGCCGGCCAGGUUCUUUCAACGUAACUGGGCAUUGCUGAAGGUGGAAAUUGUUGCUGCAGUCCGUGAGUUUUUUGUGACUGGUGUUAUGCCUGAAGGAGUUAAUGACACGGAUAUUGUGCUAAUUCCGAAGGUCCCUCAUCCUAAAGACCUGAAAGAUUUUAGGCCAAUAAGUUUGUGUAAUGUCAUCUACAAGAUUGUCUCGAAGUGUAUGGUGAAUAGACUGCGGCCUUUUCUGACAGAGCUUAUUUCAGAAAACCAAAGCGCCUUCAUUCCUGGGAGGCUAAUCACUGACAAUUCCAUAAUUGCAUUUGAGUGUCUCCAUCAUAUUCAGACUGCGCGAAACAAUGCGCCGAGUCUAUGA
rnacentral:rRNA from 1 species